GAUCAUGGCUCGGGAUGAACGCUAGCUACAGGCUUAACACAUACAAGUCGAGGGGCAGCAUGUUGGUUGCUUGCAACCGAUGAUGGCGACCGGCGCACGGGUGAGUAACGCGUAUCCAACCUACCCUUGUCCAUCGGAUAACCCGUCGAAAGGCGGCCUAACACGAUAUGCGGUUCACAGCAGGCAUCUAACGUGAACGAAAUGUGAAGGAGAAGGAUGGGGAUGCGUCUGAUUAG
rnacentral:rRNA from 1 species